GAUGAACGCUGGCGGCGUGCCUAAUACAUGCAAGUCGAGCGAACAGAUGAGGAGCUUGCUCCUCUGACGUUAGCGGCGGACGGGUGAGUAACACGUGGAUAACCUACCUAUAAGACUGGGAUAACUUCGGGAAACCGGAGCUAAUACCGGAUAAUAUAUUGAACCGCAUGGUUCAAUAGUGAAAGACGGUUUUGCUGUCGCUUAUAGAUGGAUCCGCGCCGCAUUAGCUAGUUGGUAAGGUAACGGCGCACCAAGGCAACGAUGCGUAGCCGACCUGAGAGGGGGAUCGGCCACACUGGGACUGAGACACGGCCCAGACUGCGACGGGAGGCAGCAGUGGGGAAUAUUGCACAAUGGGCGCAAGCCUGAUGCAGCGACGCCGCGUGAUGUAUAACGGCCUUCGGGUUGUAAACAUCUUUCAGCAGGGAAGAAGCGAAAGUGACGGUACCUUCAGAAGAAGCACCGGCUAACUACGUG
rnacentral:rRNA from 1 species